rnacentral:rRNA from 1 species
UGCAUGUCUAAGUACGAGCUGUGUUUACACGGCGAAACCGCGUACGGCUCAUUAAAUCAGUCGUGGUCCAAAUGGGCCAGUGAUUAUCCUACUUGGAUAACUGUGGUAAUUCCAGAGCUAAUAUAUGCAACUCAUACCCCGAAGGCCACUCUCUUGUAGGGUGCGCUGGACGGGUGCUUUUAUUAGACCAAACUGCUGAGGACGUGUGUCCCCGUCUCUGGCGGGGCUCACGUUUCACUCGACAAAUGGUGACUCUGGAUAACCUUUGACAAGCGCACGUAUCACUCUUCGAGUGGACGGCGCUGCCACUAUCGAGUGUCUGACUUAUCAGCUAUCAAUCGUUCGUUAUGUGCGAACGAUGGCUUUGACGGGUAACGGGGAAUCAGGGUUCGAUUCCGGAGAGGCAGCCUGAGAGACGGCUACCACGUCCAAGGACGGCAGCAGGCGCGCAAAUUACCCAAUCCCAGUCUCUGGGGGAGGUAGUGACGAAAUCUAACGAUGCGGGCGCCCUUUCUAGGGCCCCGCAAUCGGAAUGAGCA